CAGCACCUCAAGUGGUCAGGAUGAUUAUUGGGCCUAAAGCAUCCGUAGCCGGCGCUGUAAGUUUUCGGUUAAAUCUGUACGCUCAACGUACAGGCUGCCGGGAAUACUGCAGCGCUAGGGAGUGGGAGAGGUAGACGGUACUCGGUAGGAAGGGGUAAAAUCCUUUGAUCUAUUGAUGACCACCUGUGGCGAAGGCGGUCUACCAGAACACGUCCGACGGUGAGGGAUGAAAGCUGGAGGAGCAAACCGGAUUAGAUACCCGAGUAGUCC
rnacentral:rRNA from 1 species